GGUCGUUUUGCUCAGUCGGUUAGAGCAUCGUGCUAAUAACGCGAGGGUCGCAGGUUCGAGCCCUGCAUCGACCA
rnacentral:tRNA from 1 species